UCCUGGAGAUCUACAGUCUUGUAGGUUCAGUCCAACCCUCUUCCAGGAGAUCUACCGUCCUGUAGGUUCACUACUAAUUAACUGCUCAACAAGACCGUAGCAAGAUGAAUCAAAACCAAUAAAUUAUGGUUGGACUAAAAACCUACAGGUCAGUAGAUCUCCAGGCAGAGGGUUGGACUGAAAACCCACAGGUCAGUAGAUCUCCAGGCAGAGGGUUGGGCUGAAAACCAACAGGACAGUAGCUCUCCAGGCAGAGGGUUGGGCUGAAAACCUACAGGACAGUAGAUCUCCAGGCAGAGGGUUGGGCUGAAAACCUACAGGACAGUAGAUGUCCAGGCAGAGGGUUGG